UGUCAUCUCUGGUAUGUUCUCACUUGGUCAAUACUUGUUCUACAAGGCAAGCCAUGCCAGCAGAGUACUCAAUUUUCCACCAAAGAUGUGUACAGAUGAGAGACACGUUAAGUAGCAAUAUCUUGAGGCUCAUUGUGCAGCUUUUAUGUUCCGCUCAUCACGUAUUCACUCACACAUUCGGAUGUAUCGGAAUUAGAUUCAUUUCACGAAUGUCUCAGUUUUGAAUUCGGUUUCUAUUCACGUAUACCAGGUCAAAAAGAGUGACCAGCAAAUUCCGAAUCGUCUCCUGUGGGAAGCUUCCUCCGACACAACAUGUUCAGGUCACCCAAUAUCUGUUCGCUCAACUCUGCACCACAAUGCGACUAGAGUGCUCCAGUAAACUGAACAAAGACAAGAAGACACACGUCCAAAACGAAGAAUUGAAACACAUCACGAAUACUCUGCAAGAGGGACUGGAUUGAAUAUUUAAGCCAAAACAGCUGCUGCGGAAGAAUCCCAUCUCACUAUUUACAAGAUUCCUAGAAAUAAUCCCAUCUCACUAACUGCAAAAUUCCGAGGAUCAAAAUCCGCUCAAUCUUGGCCGCUUGCAAGAAUCCUCACAUUCUUCUCAAUGAGCAGUUGCCGGGACUCCGCAUUAAUUUCCUUUGUAACCGUCAUCCUGCAGUUCUUUACACAUGCAGUAGAGCACUCUACAUUCCCCUUUUCCGCUUUGUAAUGCCACUGCUCAUUCAAACAUGUCUAUAAGUCCUCGGAGAUUGGCACCAGUCCCUCGAUGUGCGCUAUUGAGAAGAAGGGGAAUAAGCAGCAAUAAGCGCACAACUUCUCGGAGCUCUGCUUCUUCUCCUGCUGCAUUAGUCAACGUACCAGUUGGGUUCCAGUUCGUCGAUCCUCCAUCACCUUGACCACCAAUCCUCACUCUUGAGAAACAGAGACCAAAAACUAUUUCCUCGGAGGAAGUAAAAGCUUAGAAACUGUCUCCCACGAAUUGAGAAGCAAAGCAAGCCUGCUGUGAGGAUACUCGAAGAGGUUCGAACCGAUUCGACCCACAAACAGAGCGACAGGCGUAGCAACAAAAUAUGAUCCAUCUCGUCGAAUUUCGCCGACUUAUAAACAGGAUCCAUGUCUGCAUGCACCAAGGCUCUGUUUGCAAGCAGUCUGAGACGAAGACGGAGUGAAGGUCACAAGUCGGCAGAGAUUUACCUACGUCGAGGGGGAGGGGGAGGGGAUACGGUGAAGUCUGGUGCGAGGAAGAGGGGCGGUUGAGUGGC
rnacentral:lncRNA from 1 species